UACGUAGGGUGCGAGCGUUAAUCGGAAUUACUGGGCGUAAAGCGUGCGCAGGCGGUUCGUUGUGUCGGCGGUGAAAGCCCCGGGCUCAACCUCGGAAUUGCCUUCGAUACUGGGUAUCUUGAGUUCGGGAGAGGUGAGUGGAAUGCCGAGUGUAGAGGUGAAAUUCGUAGAUAUUCGGCGGAACACCAGUGGCGAAGGCGACUCACUGGCCCGAUACUGACGCUGAUGCGCGAAAGCGUGGGGAGCAAACAGG
rnacentral:rRNA from 1 species